rnacentral:sRNA from 1 species
AUUCUGCCCAUGCGGGGAAGGAUGAGAAGCUUCGACCAAGGUUCGACUCGAGCGCCAGCGAGAGAGCGUUGCCGCAGGCAACGACCCGUAGGGCGAAGCGCGCAGCGCUGAGUAAUCCCUCCCCCACCACCA